GACGAACGCCGGCGGCGUGCCUAAUACAUGCAAGUCGAACGAAACUUUCUUACACCGAAUGCUUGCAUUCACCGUAAGAAGUUGAGUGGCGGACGGGUGAGUAACACGUGGGUAACCUGCCUAAAAGAAGGGGAUAACACUUGGAAACAGGUGCUAAUACCGUAUAUCUCUAAGGAUCGCAUGAUCCUUAGAUGAAAGAUGGUUCUGCUAUCGCUUUUAGAUGGACCCGCGGCGUAUUAACUAGUUGGUGGGUAACAGCCUACCAAGGUGAUGAUACGUAGCCGAACUGAGAGGUUGAUCGGCCACAUUGGGACUGAGACACGGCCCAAACUCCUACGGGAGCAGCAGUAGGGAAUCUUCACAAUGGACGCAAGUCUGAUGGAGCAACGCCGCGUGAGUGAAGAAGGUCUUCGGAUCGUAAAACUCUGUUGUUAGAGAAGAACGCGAG
rnacentral:rRNA from 1 species